UACGUAGGGUGCGAGCGUUAAUCGGAAUUACUGGGCGUAAAGCGUGCGUAGGCGGUUCUCCAAGUCCGUUGUGAAAGCCCCGGGCUCAACCUGGGAAUGGCAGUGGAAACUAGGGGACUGGAAUCUGGCAGAGGGGGGUGGAAUGCCGCGUGUAGCAGUGAAAUGCGUAGAGAUGCGGCGGAACACCGAUGGCGAAGGCAGCCCCCUGGGCUGAGAUUGACGCUCAGGCACGAAAGGGUGGGGAGCAAACAGG
rnacentral:rRNA from 1 species